GGCAAGCGUUAUCCGGAAUUAUUGGGCGUAAAGCGCGCGUAGGCGGUUUUUUAAGUCUGAUGUGAAAGCCCACGGCUCAACCGUGGAGGGUCAUUGGAAACUGGAAAACUUGAGUGCAGAAGAGGAAAGUGGAAUUCCAUGUGUAGCGGUGAAAUGCGCAGAGAUAUGGAGGAACACCAGUGGCGAAGGCGACUUUCUGGUCUGUAACUGACGCUGAUGUGCGAAAGCGUGGGGAUCAAACAGGAUUAGAUACCCUGGUAGUCCACGCCGUAAACGAUGAGUGCUAAGUGUUAGGGGGUUUCCGCCCCUUAGUGCUGCAGCUAACGCAUUAAGCACUCCGC
rnacentral:rRNA from 1 species